GGGGCUGACCGGUUUCGACGUUGAGACCGUUGGCUCGUCGUGCGACCCGAGUUGCUCAGACUCGCUAAACGGGGCACAAACACAGGUGCCGAAACCAAGACACCUGCCUUCCUCAUCGCAGCCUAAGAACUGCAGGUGAAGGCAAACAGCGACCCGCGAGGGCACGCCGAGGACGACCCUUUGCCUUGGGAACAGAAUGAGGGUUGACAGCUAGGGAAAGACCGCUGGCACGUUGGGAAAGACCGACUGACAUCACGGAAAGACGUGACGAGCAUUCGUGACCCGGCUCGAGGGUAGCGUCAGGCCCGCAACCGGGAAUGGUCGUAGCACGGUGGGUGAGCACUCAGCGGACGAGGGUUCGAUUCCCUCCAGCUCCACGA
rnacentral:tmRNA from 1 species